rnacentral:rRNA from 1 species
UACGAAGGGGGCUAGCGUUGCUCGGAAUCACUGGGCGUAAAGGGUGCGUAGGCGGGUCUUUAAGUCAGGGGUGAAAUCCUGGAGCUCAACUCCAGAACUGCCUUUGAUACUGAGGAGCUUGAGUUCGGGAGAGGUGAGUGGAACUGCGAGUGUAGAGGUGAAAUUCGUAGAUAUUCGCAAGAACACCAGUGGCGAAGGCGGCUCACUGGCCCGUUACUGACGCUGAGGCACGAAAGCGUGGGGAGCAAACAGG